UACGAGGGGUCCAAGCGUUGUUCGGAAUUACUGGGCGUAAAGCGGGUGUAGGCGGCCACGCCAGUCGGAUGUGAAAGCCCUGGGCUUAACCCAGGAAGUGCAUCCGAUACUGCGUGGCUUGAGUACUGGAGAGGGAUGCGGAAUUCCUGGUGUAGCGGUGAAAUGCGUAGAUAUCAGGAGGAACAUCGGUGGCGAAGGCGGCAUCCUGGCCAUGUACUGACGCUCAGACCCGAAAGCGUGGGGAGCAAACAGG
rnacentral:misc_RNA from 1 species